GAUGAACGCUGGCGGCGUGCCUAAUACAUGCAAGUCGAGCGAACGGACGAGAAGCUUGCUUCUCUGAUGUUAGCGGCGGACGGGUGAGUAACACGUGGAUAACCUACCUAUAAGACUGGGAUAACUUCGGGAAACCGGAGCUAAUACCGGAUAAUAUUUUGAACCGCAUGGUUCAAAAGUGAAAGACGGUCUUGCUGUCACUUAUAGAUGGAUCCGCGCUGCAUUAGCUAGUUGGUAAGGUAACGGCUUACCAAGGCAACGAUGCAUAGCCGACCUGAGAGGGUGAUCGGCCACACUGGAACUGGAACACGGUCCAGACUCCUACGAGAGGCAGCAGUAGGGAAUCUUCCGCAAUGGGCGAAAGCCUGACGGAGCAACGCCGCGUGAGUGAUGGAGGUCUUCGGAUCGUAAAACUCUGUUAUUAGGGAAGAACAUAUGUGUAAGUAACUGUGCACAUCUUGACGGUACCUAAUCAGAAAGCCACGGCUAACUACGUG
rnacentral:rRNA from 1 species